GAUGAACGCUGGCGGCGUGCCUAAUACAUGCAAGUCGAGCGAACGGACGAGGCGCUUGCGUCUCUCAUGUUAGCCGCGGGCGGGUGUGUCACAUGUGUAUACCCCACCUAUAAGACGGGUAUCACUUCGGGACACCGGCGCUAAUCCCGUAUGAUAUUUUGAUCCGCGUGGUUCAUUAGUGAAAGACGGUCUUGCUGUCUCUUCUAGCUGGAUAUGGGCUGCAUUAGCUAGUUGGUAAGGUAACGGCUUACGAAGGCAACGAUGCAUAGCCGACCGGACAGGGGGAUCGGCCGCACUGGAAGGGAGCCACGGUCCAGACUCCUACGGGAGGCAGCAGAAGGGAAUCGUACGCAAUGGGCGGAAGCCUGGCGGAGCGACGCCGCGUGAGUGAUGACGAUGUUCGGAUCGUAAAACUCUGUUAUUAGGGAAGAACAGAUGUGUAAGUAACUGUGCACAGCUUGACGGUACCUAGUAAGAAAGCCACGGCUAACUACGUG
rnacentral:rRNA from 1 species